rnacentral:rRNA from 1 species
AACGAACGCUGGCGGCAUGCCUAACACAUGCAAGUCGAACGAGACCUUCGGGUCUAGUGGCGCACGGGUGCGUAACGCGUGGGAAUCUGCCCUUGGGUUCGGAAUAACAGUGAGAAAUUACUGCUAAUACCGGAUGAUGACGAAAGUCCAAAGAUUUAUCGCCCAAGGAUGAGCCCGCGUAGGAUUAGCUAGUUAGUAAG